UUUGUUUUUCUCCGUUUAUGCGUUGUGUGUUCGUUUGAAUGAAAACGUCGCGAGUGUUGUAACAAAAACCACGGAAAACAGAAGAAGAAUACGGGAGCAAAAGGAAUUCCAGGCUACAGCAGAAUGCCCAUUGCCCAACAGGGUUUCGUUCCAUGGUAUUUCAACGAGGCCACUGCAAUGAGAAAAGAAUUCCUGAAGCCAAAGAAAAUGAUACACCCAAAUAGCAGAAAGUCUAUCGCUAUUACGAAAAAAGCCAAAAAAAUAUCAAAUAGACAGAAGGCAGAAAUGUCCUGCUUGAUAAAACAGAAUUCAAUAGGAGAGAAAAUAUCGUGGAUCAGAAACAAUAUGAUUCCAGGCGUGUGACCCUAUACUCCAGAGAUAACUGCAAGUUUGUUAGAAACGGAGGUAAAACAAAAAUGUAUACACAUGAUGAUACAGAGAUUGUACAUUAAAGAUGUGAUUAGUUAUAGUUCUAUAUUUGAUCCAAAGGUAUGUAGCAAGAAAUGAUGAAGAAAUGGAAGAAAUUACUAUUAAAAGGUCUAUAGGUAGCAACAGGAGUAGACAGCAUGCUAGGAGGGAACAUAUAAUUAGAGUAGAAAGAACUAGGAGAAUAUCAUACACGUGGAAUAGAAAUUUCUGAUAUUUUAAAUGCAACUCAGUGUGAAAUGUUAUUGAAUUGGAAUAAUGAAUUACAGUGUGCGAAUAAUUUUAAAUUUAUAAGGUUUGGCGAGAAAGAUUUAAAGAAAGUAUUAGAGCUAAGAAAAAGAAUGAAAAUAAGCCAUAUUAGACUAUCCAAAUCUCUAUUAGCUAUGCCUGUAAACAAGAAGAAUUUAUUCAGCAAGCCAAUUGAUUUAGAUGAAAAUAGUGUAAUGGAAAUAGAAUAAAUUCUGUAGAUAUGUC